rnacentral:lncRNA from 1 species
AUGCCCUGUACGGGUGGCGGGAGUUUCCACUCAGGGAAACCACAGGUCUGGAGUGUAAACACGCAAACACAAACACACACACACACAAAACACAACCACAACACAGUUUUAAAACUGCAGAGAAAAGAGAUUCUUCGGCUGACUGCAUCAUCAGAAGUAUCGGCAGCCCGGGAGGCUCACAGGGCACACCCAACCCCGGCCCAGCCAAACGCGGGGCGCGUGACAAGUCCAGUACAGCCGCGUGGGCUUCUUCCAUACGUCUUCCCUAGCGACGCGGCGCGGGGCAAGAAGGGCGGGAGGCCCCCGGGGGCGUUUGGCGCGGCGCGGGAGCCCAGGUCCGCCCGGGCGUGUGGCGCGGUGCUGGGGGCGGAAGGAAAUACGACGGAAACGGGUCGGUUGCCCGCCGCUGCGCCUGCGUGGCUGAGAGGGGAAGUGAGGCGGUUUCCUCGGCGCCUUUUCCGGCUGUGGCUGGGGCUGAGCUGGGAGGAGGAAGAGGAGGAGGCGGCGGCGGCGGCAGCAGCAGCGUCGGCCGGGGGACCCUGCAUACAGGGCGGUGGCCGGAGGUAG